UACAUGCCUCAACAUACCACAUAAAUUGCAAGAAAUUAAAUAAAUAAAAAACUUGCUAUCACAUUUUCACCCUCUAUAUAUUGUGUAUGUUUAUACACCAAUUUAUUAUUCCUCACUAACAUAGUUAUUCAAUUAUUCCCAAGGAAAAAAAAUGGAUGAACCUCUUGUACCCCAAGAGAUGAGUUAUGUGGAAAAUGUUCACAAACGCCAUGAAGAAAAAGGCUGUCUUUAUGCUUGCUUGUUUGCCUUAUGUUGCUGCUUUUGUUGCUAUGAGACAUGUGAAUGUUGUUUGGAUGUGGCAUGUUGUUGUUGCUCCUAGAAGGUUACAAAUUUGAUUCUAUGUAAUAGUUAUGAAUAAAGAUUUAGUAGCAUUUUCAGUGUGUUACUUUUGACUUAUGGUUUUGGUUUUGGUUACUUUAUGCUCAAGGAGGCAUAGGCCUAAUUUACUAGGAUUCUUUUUCAUGUUGGAAUGUUUUUUACUUGGUGUGAUGAUAAUUAAUAACGGUGUGAAUGUGAAAUGAACAAUGUGCAUGAACAUUUGUUGAAAC